rnacentral:lncRNA from 1 species
UGGACAGUCCAUGUCGUCAUCAUGCUGCCCGGCCGGCGGUGGCUUGGCGACGACGACCCUGUCGAUUGCUGCCAUGAACGUGCCUGCGAACUCCGGGUGUUUCUCGUGGCUCAUGUACCUCGUCAGAUCUUGAGAGUUCAGAAGCUCGCGAAGGUCAGGGAGAAGACAUCAGUGAAGCCCUGCGUCUCAGCAAUUCAGCAUCUCCUCCCUUCCCCUGAAAAGAAAAAUGACACUUUUUUAGAUGCUGGAAAUGGUAUAAAAGAACAAGUUUUAGCUGCAGGUUAGUUCAGGUAGUUAAUCGGACUAGUAAUAUUAUCUUAGGCAUGUUGUAUCUGACUGGUCUACAAGUUCAUCCAGUUACUGACGCUAGUAAUUUGGAGCAGAAAAGCAAGUCUGAAUAUACCAGCACCGAUGUGCAUAUACCACUCAAAGCAUUUCACAAUGCCCAUCUCUGAAACAAGCUUAUGCAGGAUGUCAUCUCAUCUCCUCCGCCACACCAGGGUGGCUUCCAUGAACUUCACCAGGAAAAAGGUGCUUGAUUUCCACCAUGGUCGGAAAGCGCAAAGCUCUCUCACCUCCGCAAGAGUGCGAUGAUCACCACGUUACCCCCCCCCACCAUUUUAUUGUCGGUGUGAGUGAGAGCCGCUGCUCCGGUGAGGUCCAC